GACGUAGGAGGCGAGCGUUAUCCGGAUUCACUGGGCGUAAAGCGCAUGUAGGCGGUUGCACAAGUCCGUUGUUAAAGCCCCUGGCUCAACUAGGGGAGGUCAAUGGAGACUGUGCGACUUGAGGGCAAUAGAGGCACGUGGAACUCCCGGUGUAGCGGUGGAAUGCGUAGAGAUCGGGAAGAACACCAGUGGCGAAGGCGACGUGCUGGGUUGCACCUGACGCUGAGAUGCGAAAGUGUGGGGAGCAAACGGG
rnacentral:rRNA from 1 species